rnacentral:rRNA from 2 species
UUGACCUCGGAUCAGGUAGGGAUACCCGCUGAACUUAAGCAUAUCAAUAAGCGGAGGAAAAGAAACCAACAGGGAUUGCUCUAGUAACGGCGAGUGAAGCAGCAAUAGCUCAAAUUUGAAAUCUGGCGUCUUCGACGUCCGAGUUGUAAUUUGUAGAGGAUGCUUCUGAGUAACCACCGACCUAAGUUCCUUGGAACAGGACGUCAUAGAGGGUGAGAAUCCCGUAUGCGGUCGGAAAGGUGCUCUAUACGUAGCUCCUUCGACGAGUCGAGUUGUUUGGGAAUGCAGCUCUAAAUGGGAGGUAAAUUUCUUCUAAAGCUAAAUAUUGGCCAGAGACCGAUAGCGCACAAGUAGAGUGAUCGAAAGAUGAAAAGCACUUUGGAAAGAGAGUUAAAAAGCACGUGAAAUUGUUAAAAGGGAAGGGAUUGCAACCAGACUUGCUCGCGGUGUUCCGCCGGUCUUCUGACCGGUCUACUCGCCGCGUUGCAGGCCAGCAUCGUCUGGUGCCGCUGGAUAAGACUUGAGGAAUGUAGCUCCCUCGGGAGUGUUAUAGCCUCUUGUGAUGCAGCGAGCGCCGGGCGAGGUCCGCGCUUCGGCUAGGAUGCUGGCGUAAUGGUCGUAAUCCGCCCGUCUUGAAACACGGACCAAGGAGUCUAACAUCUAUGCGAGUGUUCGGGUGUCAAACCCCUACGCGUAAUGAAAGUGAACGGAGGUGAGAACCGCAAGGUGCAUCAUCGACCGAUCCUGAUGUCUUCGGAUGGAUUUGAGUAAGAGCAUAGCUGUUGGGACCCGAAAGAUGGUGAACUAUGCCUGAAUAGGGUGAAGCCAGAGGAAACUCUGGUGGAGGCUCGCAGCGGUUCUGACGUGCAAAUCGAUCGUCAAAUUUGGGUAUAGGGGCGAAAGACUAAUC